GGGGAAGUGUCGGAAUUGGUAGACGAGCAUGAUUUAGGAUCAUGUGCCCUAGGGCGUGGGAGUUCGAGUCUCCCCUUCCCCA
rnacentral:tRNA from 2 species